UUGAACGCUGGCGGCAGGCCUAACACAUGCAAGUCGAGCGGAUGAAGGGAGCUUGCUCCUGGAUUCAGCGGCGGACGGGUGAGUAAUGCCUAGGAAUCUGCCUGGUAGUGGGGGAUAACGUCCGGAAACGGGCGCUAAUACCGCAUACGUCCUGAGGGAGAAAGUGGGGGAUCUUCGGACCUCACGCUAUCAGAUGAGCCUAGGUCGGAUUAGCUAGUUGGUGGGGUAAAGGCCUACCAAGGCGACGAUCCGUAACUGGUCUGAGAGGAUGAUCAGUCACACUGGAACUGAGACACGGUCCAGACUCCUACGGGAGGCAGCAGUGGGGAAUAUUGGACAAUGGGCGAAAGCCUGAACCAGCCAUGCCGCGUGUGUGAAGAAGGUCUUCGGAUUGUAAAGCACUUUAAGUUGGGAGGAAGGGCAGUAAGUUAAUACCUUGCUGUUUUGACGUUACCAACAGAAUAAGCACCGGCUAACUUCGUG
rnacentral:rRNA from 1 species